rnacentral:rRNA from 1 species
UCUACGGGAUGCAGCAGUGGGGGAUAUUGCACAAUGGGGGAAACCCUGAUGCAGCGACGCCGCGUGUGGGAAGACGGUCCUCUGGAUUGUAAACCACUGUCCCCAGGGCCGAAGCUGACGGUACCUGGGGAGGAAGCUCCGGCUAACUACGUGCCAGCAGCCGCGGUAAUAAGUAGGGAGCGAGCGUUGUCCGGAAUUACGAGGUGUAAAGGGAGCGUAGGGGGGGAUGCAAGUUGGGUGUCAAAACUACCGGCUCAACUGGUAGUCGCACUCAAAACUGCAGCUCUUGAGUGAAGUAGAGGCAGGCGGAAUUCCUAGUGUAGCGGUGAAAUGCGUAGAUAUUAGGAGGAACACCAGUGGCGAAGGCGGCCUGCUGGGCUUUUACUGACGCUGAGGCUCGAAAGUGUGGGGAGCAAACAGGAUUAGAUACCCCUGUAGUC